CGGAAAGGGGAGUGGGACAUCAC
rnacentral:piRNA from 1 species